GGGGGUGACCUGGUUUCGACGGGGUAACCGGAGGUUGGCCUGCAUGCCGAGCACUCCGACAACUCGAAAAACUGUCGGUAAACAAAAACAACUGGCGAAUACAAUUACGCCAUGGCUGCCUAAGUAAGGCGGCCCGUUCUUCCCUACUUUGCCCUCUGGGUGGGUGUAAGAGCGACGAUUCCGGAGGGCUGGUCCGGGAAGGUUUGUUCAGCCCGAACGGACGAGAAACAAUUGAACUGGCCUUCUAGCUGGCCGGUCUCUUGGCAGGCUGAUAGGCGAGAAUAAAUAGAGAGACUACGCAUGUAGACGGUCUUCUGUCGGUACUUUCGGACGGGGGUUCGAUUCCCCCCACCUCCAAUU
rnacentral:tmRNA from 1 species